AUGCUUACAGUACUGACAGGUGAGUCUGUCCCUUCACAAUCAACCUCAGUACAUUUUAGUCACCAGGACAAACGUGUCAGUUUUGGUACAAUAGGAAAUCCUACUUCCCACUCUAUGGAUACUAAAGAUGACUGCCUAAAUGGGUCAUCGACAAACUGCCCUCUACUUCCUAAAUGCGUUUUGACAAGUAGCAGAGAAAUUGACAAGAUAACAAGACGCCGGUGUAGAGCGCCGGCUACAAGACGCCGGACAAGACGCCAGACAAGACGCCGGACAAGACGCCAGACAAGACGCCGGAAAAGACGCCGGAAAAGACGCCAGACAAGACUCCGGACAAGACUCCGGACAAGACGCCGGUGUAGAGUGCUGGCUACAAGACACCGGUGUAGAGUGCCGGCUACAAGACACCGGACAAGACACCGGUGUAGAGUGCCGGCUACAAGACACCGGUGUAGAGUGCCAACUACAAGACACCGGUGUAGAGUGCCAACUACAAGACACCGGUGUAGAGUGCCGGCUACCCGACGCCGGUGUACAGCGCUGUUAUGGACAGUAAUUCAUAACACGAUAACGACAAGUUGAACGAUAAAUGUGCACUGGCAAUUUUUAUUUUAUUACCCUUACAACUACUACUCUGAAUGUUGCAGUCAUCAAUUGUCCCAUUAGCAAUAGCUCAUAUUAGCAGACUUAAAAUUUCACAUUACUCUGGUAAAAGCUACUUAUCGCCAUUAUCAAUAUCAGUAAAACGUCCUCGAUUGGUUGGGUCGGUGUGGAUCAUUUUUUGGUUUAUCGACCCAGCUCUACCCUGGAUGUCUCGUUCAAGUAGGAUCAGAUAUGGACUCCACAAACCCUGGAGACUCAUUCAUGCUUCAAUCUCUUUCUCGUUUAAAACAGAAUUGAACUGGAGUUCAAACUUCUCUCAAAGAAAAUGUCAUAUGUGACAUAGAAACAUUUAUUCCAGUAUUGUCCAAAACUGAUUUGAAGUCAGUAUUGUCCAAAACUGAUUUGAUUUCGACAAUGAUCACUAACACAUGAUACAUAACAGAUUUUAUUCCAGAUCAAAACGAGGCUUAGGUGGCAGAGGGCAUGGCAGAGGGCGUGGCAGAGGGCGUGGCAGAGGGCGUGGCAGAGGGUGUGGCAGAGGUGACCCAUUUUGGUCGAGAAAUGUGAGCAUUUUUAAGCUAAUUUCCUGUGAUUCUACAAUAUUCUCCAUGGAGUUGAGAUACAUUUUUAAAGCUAAAAUCUUCCAAUUCUACACAUUUGGCAGUUUCAAAGCUAAUUUCCUGUGAUUAUACAAUAUUCUUCAUGGAGUUGAAAGAAAACAGUUUUUAAUGACAUUUCCUGCCAUCCCAUUUUACCACAGCUACUCUACUGUGUUCUUUUGUUCACACAGAAUAACCAAAUCAAAACUGCUAAAAUCAUUGUUAUUGAAAUGUUUUAUUGUCCCUGAUUGUCUAUCUUUCAUUUUGGUGAUUGUUUCGUUCUUAAACUUUAUAUUAUAAAAAGAUAUAAGUCCAUUAUUCGUUUCUACAUACUUUAUAUCUGGGUUUUAGUCAUUUGAGUUUACACUGAGAACGCUUAACCGUUGAUUUAUUUUAUUUUAUUAUUAUUCACUGUUUGGGCCCAAGGAUUUCAAUGGCAUUAGACAGCAUGUCAGACAUUUACUUGAGACAUACUGUACCAAACAUUGUAGCUAGAUGUAAAAUAGCGUGAGUAAAACCUCCUCUGCAAAAAAACCUCGUCAAAAUUAAUUACAGAUUUCUUGAGUCAUCUUAAAUUCGUUCUGACAAUUUUCAGGAAGUGAUAAUGGCUUUGUUCAUAUGGUGUCUCAUGGGCGACAAACAUUAGCAACUGCCACAUCGAACCACACCUCUAACACUGAAAUCUCAUUUUUCUUAAAGAAUCCAGUCAAAACAAAACAAAUGUCAUUCUUUUGAUAGAUAUUGUCAUUCUCUUCCUUUACAAAUAACUGGCUCAGAUGCAGGACUAAACACAACAAGAGGAUAGUGUCCUGAUGUUUUUGUUCAAGUAGAAAAUCUUCUCGAAUACAACAAGGGUCAGAAUGAAAACCAGAGCAGUUUACUAGCUGACUGGGCAGCCGCAGCCACGUGUCUGCCUAAACAGUCCUAAUGAACUGAACAAUACAGUACCUUAGGAUACCACCACCAGACACAGCCUGAUUGUUCAUAUCACCACAGCGACCUC
ensembl:lncRNA